rnacentral:rRNA from 1 species
CCUACGGGUGGCAGCAGGGAGGAAUAUUGGGCAAUGGGCGAGAGCCUGAACCAGCCAAGUAGCGUGAGGGAAGACGGUCCGAUGGAUUGUAAACCUCUUUUGUCGGGGAGCAAAAUACGCCACGCGUGCCGUUCUGAGAGUACCCUACGAACAAGCAUCGGCUAACGCCGUGCCAGCAGCCGCGGUAAUACGGAGGAUGCGAGCGUUAUCCGGAUUGAUUGGGUUAAAAGGGUGCGCAGGCGGAAGAUCAAGUCAGCGGUAAAAUUGCGUGGCUCAACCUCUGCGUGCCGUUGAAACUGGGAUUCUUGAGUGCGCGAGAGGUAGGCGGAAUGCGUGGUGUAGCGGUGAACUGCAUAGAUAUCACGCAGAACUCCGAUUGCGAAGGCAGCAUACCGGCGCUCAACUGACGCUCAUGCACGACAGUGUGGGUAUCGAACAGGAUUAGAUACCCUAGUAGUC